rnacentral:rRNA from 1 species
GACGAACGCUGGCGGCGUGCUUAACACAUGCAAGUCGAACGAUGAACCCGGAGCUUGCUCUGGGGGAUUAGUGGCGAACGGGUGAGUAACACGUGAGUAACCUGCCCUGGACUCUGGGAUAAGCGUUGGAAACGACGUCUAAUACCGGAUAGGACCUUGGAUCGCAUGAUCUGGGGUGGAAAGUUUUUUCGGUCUGGGAUGGACUCGCGGCCUAUCAGCUUGUUGGUGAGGUAAUGGCUCACCAAGGCGUCGACGGGUAGCCGGCCUGAGAGGGUGACCGGCCACACUGGGACUGAGACACGGCCCAGACUCCUACGGGAGGCAGCAGUGGGGAAUAUUGCACACUGGGCGAAAGCCUGAUGCAGCAACGCCGCGUGCGGGAUGACGGCCGUCGGGUUGUAAACCGCUUUUAGUAGGGAAGAAGGGCUUCGGCUUGACGGUACCUGCAGAAAAAGGACCGGCUAACUACGUG